rnacentral:rRNA from 1 species
ACUCCUACGGGAGGCAGCAGUGGGGAAUAUUGCACAAUGGGCGCAAGCCUGAUGCAGCCAUGCCGCGUGUGUGAAGAAGGCCUUCGGGUUGUAAAGCACUUUCAGUCGUGAGGAAGGUAGUGUAGUUAAUAGCUGCAUUAUUUGACGUUUAGCGACAGAAGAAGCACCGGCUAACUCCGUGCCAGCAGCCGCGGUAAUACGGAGGGUGCGAGCGUUAAUCGGAAUUACUGGGCGUAAAGCGCAUGCAGGUGGUUGUUAAGUCAGAUGUGAAAGCCCGGGGCUCAACCUCGGAAUAGCAUUUGAAACUGGCAGACUAGAGUACUGUAGAGGGGGUAGAAUUUCAGGUGUAGCGGUGAAAUGCGUAGAGAUCUGAAGGAUACCGGUGGCGAAGGCGGCCCCUGGACAGAUACUGACACUCAGAUGCGAAAGCGUGGGAGCAAACAGGAUUAGAUACCCCUGGUAGACUGUCA